UACGUAGGGUGCGAGCGUUAAUCGGAAUUACUGGGCGUAAAGCGUGCGCAGGCGGUUUUGUAAGACCGAUGUGAAAUCCCCGGGCUUAACCUGGGAACUGCAUUGGUGACUGCAGGGCUAGAGUGUGUCAGAGGGAGGUGGAAUUCCGCGUGUAGCAGUGAAAUGCGUAGAGAUGCGGAGGAACACCGAUGGCGAAGGCAGCCUCCUGGGAUAACACUGACGCUCAGGCACGAAAGCGUGGGGAGCAAACAGG
rnacentral:rRNA from 1 species